AACGAACGCUGGCGGCAUGCCUAACACAUGCAAGUCGAACGAGAUCUUCGGGUCUAGUGGCGCACGGGUGCGUAACGCGUGUGAAUCUGCCCUUUGGUUCGGAAUAACAGUUGGAAACGACUGCUAAUACCGGAUGAUGACGAAAUUCCAAAGAUUUAUCGCCAGAGGAUGAGCCCGCGUAGGAUUAGCUAGUUGGUGUGGUAAAGGCGCACCAAGGCGACGAUCCUUAGCUGGUCUGAGAGGAUGAUCAGCCACACUGGGAGUGAGACACGGCCCAGACUCCUACGGGAGGCAGCAGUGGGGAAUAUUGGACAAUGGGCGAAAGCCUGAUCCAGCAAUGCCGCGUGAGUGAUGAAGGCCUUAGGGUUGUAAAGCUCUUUUACCCGGGAUGAUAAUGACAGUACCGGGAGAAUAAGCUCCGGCUAACUCCGUGCCAGCAGCCGCCGUAA
rnacentral:rRNA from 1 species